UUCAACAAACUGGAAAACCUUGACAAAUGGACAUAUUCCUGGAAAAAUACAAUGUUCCAAAAACUCAAUCAGGGAGAAUCAGAAAACCUGAAUACACCAAUACUAUAAAUGAAACUGAUUAAAUUGAAGCAUCGAUCUGACUGUCAAACCUCAGAGGGA